GGUCGCGUGGCCGAGUGGUUAAGGCAGGGGUCUGCAAAACCUCUUAUCGGUGGUUCGAAUCCACUCGCGACCU
rnacentral:tRNA from 1 species